rnacentral:rRNA from 1 species
GACGAACGCUGGCGGCGUGCUUAACACAUGCAAGUCGAACGGAAAGGCCCUGCUUUUGUGGGGUGCUCGAGUGGCGAACGGGUGAGUAACACGUGAGUAACCUGCCCUUGACUUUGGGAUAACUUCAGGAAACUGGGGCUAAUACCGGAUAGGAGCUCCUGCUGCAUGGUGGGGGUUGGAAAGUUUCGGCGGUUGGGGAGGGACUCGCGGCUUAUCAGCUUGUUGGUGGGGUAGUGGCUUACCAAGGCUUUGACGGGUAGCCGGCCUGAGAGGGUGACCGGCCACAUUGGGACUGAGAUACGGCCCAGACUCCUACGGGAGGCAGCAGUGGGGAAUAUUGCACGAUGGGCGGAAGCCUGAUGCAGCAACGCCGCGUGCGGGAUGACGGCCUUCGGGUUGUAAACCGCUUUCGCCUGUGACGAAGCGUGAGUGACGGUAAUGGGUAAAGAAGCACCGGCUAACUACGUG